ACCUUUUGUAUAAUGGGUCAGCGACUUAUAUUCUGUAGCAAGGUUAACCGAAUAGGGGAGCCGAAGGGAAACCGAGUCUUAACUGGGCGUUAAGUUGCAGGGUAUAGACCCGAAACCCGGUGAUCUAGCCAUGGGCAGGUUGAAGGUUGGGUAACACUAACUGGAGGACCGAACCGACUAAUGUUGAAAAAUUAGCGGAUGACUUGUGGCUGGGGGUGAAAGGCCAAUCAAACCGGGAGAUAGCUGGUUCUCCCCGAAAGCUAUUUAGGUAGCGCCUCGUGAAUUCAUCUCCGGGGGUAGAGCACUGUUUCGGCAAGGGGGUCAUCCCGACUUACCAACCCGAUGCAAACUGCGAAUACCGGAGAAUGUUAUCACGGGAGACACACGGCGGGUGCUAACGUCCGUCGUGAAGAGGGAAACAACCCAGACCGCCAGCUAAGGUCCCAAAGUCAUGGUUAAGUGGGAAACGAUGUGGGAAGGCCCAGACAGCCAGGAUGUUGGCUUAGAAGCAGCCAUCAUUUAAAGAAAGCGUAAUAGCUCACUGGUCGAGUCGGCCUGCGCGGAAGAUGUAACGGGGCUAAACCAUGCACCGAAGCUGCGGCAGCGACGCUGAUGCGUUGUUGGGUAGGGGAGCGUUCUGUAAGCCUGCGAAGGUGUGCUGUGAGGCAUGCUGGAGGUAUCAGAAGUGCGAAUGCUGACAUAAGUAACGAUAAAGCGGGUGAAAAGCCCGCUCGCCGGAAGACCAAGGGUUCCUGUCCAACGUUAAUCGGGGCAGGGUGAGUCGACCCCUAAGGCGAGGCCGAAAGGCGUAGUCGAUGGGAAACAGGUUAAUAUUCCUGUACUUGGUGUUACUGCGAAGGGGGGACGGAGAAGGCUAUGUUGGCCGGGCGACGGUUGUCCCGGUUUAAGCGUGUAGGCUGGUUUUCCAGGCAAAUCCGGAAAAUCAAGGCUGAGGCGUGAUGACGAGGCACUACGGUGCUGAAGCAACAAAUGCCCUGCUUCCAGGAAAAGCCUCUAAGCAUCAGGUAACAUCAAAUCGUACCCCAAACCGACACAGGUGGUCAGGUAGAGAAUACCAAGGCGCUUGAGAGAACUCGGGUGAAGGAACUAGGCAAAAUGGUGCCGUAACUUCGGGAGAAGGCACGCUGAUAUGUAGGUGAGGUCCCUCGCGGAUGGAGCUGAAAUCAGUCGAAGAUACCAGCUGGCUGCAACUGUUUAUUAAAAACACAGCACUGUGCAAACACGAAAGUGGACGUAU
rnacentral:rRNA from 1 species